rnacentral:rRNA from 1 species
ACUCCUACGGGAGGCAGCAGUGGGGAAUAUUGCACAAUGGGCGAAAGCCUGAUGCAGCGACGCCGCGUGAGGGAUGACGGCCUUCGGGUUGUAAACCUCUUUCAGUAGGGAAGAAGCGAAAGUGACGGAUACCUGCAGAAGAAGCACCGGCUAACUACGUGCCAGCAGCCGCGGUAAUACGUAGGGUGCGAGCGUUAUCCGGAAUUAUUGGGCGUAAAGAGCUCGUAGGCGGUUUGUCGCGUCUGUCGUGAAAGUCCGGGGCUUAACCCGCAGUCUGCGGUGGGUACGGGCAGACUAGAGUGCAGUAGGGAGAGCU